rnacentral:rRNA from 1 species
GACGAACGCUGGCGGCGUGCCUAAUACAUGCAAGUAGAACGCUGAAGGAGGAGCUUGCUUCUCUUGAUGAGUUGCGAACGGGUGUGUAACGCGUAUGUAACCUGCCUGGUAUCGGGGGAUAACUGUGGGAAACGAUAUCUAAUACGGCAUAAUAUUUACUAUUUCAUGUUAGUCAGUUGAAAUGUGCAACUGCACCACUACCAGAUGGACCUGCGUUGUAUUAGAUAGUUUGUGGGGUAACGGCUCACCAAGGCGACGAUUCAGAGCCGAACUGAGAGGGGGGUCGGCCGCAUGGGGACUGAGACGCGGCCCAGACUACUACGGGAGGGCGCAGAAGGGAAUGUUAGGCAAUGGACGGGAGUCUGGCAGAGCAGCGCCGAGCGAGUGACGGAGGUUCUCCGAUCGUAAAGACGUGUUGUGAGAGAAGAACGAGUGUGAGAGUGGAAAGCUCACAUUGUGACGGUACCUAAACAGAAAGGGACGGCUAACUACGUG